CUGCAGGUGUCUCAAAAGGCUGUAAAGGUCUUGAAGUGCUUUGCAAAGGUCUCGAGGUGUCUGUAGAGGUCUUUAGAGGUCUGCAGGGGCCUCUUAAAGAUAUGUAGGAGUCUGCAGGGAUCUAUUGACAGGUUGGGUGGGGUCCCUAGAGCUCUCUAGGAGACUGGAGUGGUCUGUAGGUUUCUGUAGGGGUUUGCAAGUUUCUGUAGCAUUCAGUAGGUGUCUGGAGGUUUCUGUUAGGGGUCCGCAGGUGUGUGCAGGCAUCAUUUAAGGCUCUGGAAGGGUCUAUAGAUGUGUGCAGGGGUCUGUUAAAUAUCUGGAGGGGUCUGAAGGGGACUGGGGAGCUCUGUAGGGGUCUGUAUGUGUUUGCAGGCAGCUGCAGGGGUCCGUAGAUGCCUGUAGGGAUUUGCAGGGGUCUUAGUUGUCUGCAGGGGUGGGUCGAGGUUUUAAAUCGUUGCUGUAAAUAGCAUUUAUGUCUUUAGAAACCUCCUUGCAAUUAUAAUUUAGAUUGUGGGAAAUUAUAUUUUUUGUUAAAAUAGAAAGUAUUUACCCAUAUUUAUUAAAUUUAUUUUGUAGGAUGUUGUGGGUGUUCUUUUCUCUUUUACAGAGAAUGAAGAUUAUGGAGGGGAAACUGAGGUGACUUCAGAGCAGAGAAGUGAUAUUUUGGAGGAAAAAGCUGAACAGGUCUCUUGGGAAGGAAGCAAAAACUCUGGAGGAAAAAUCUGAGGAGAUGCGGAGUUCUCAUCUCACUGAAGAUCUUAGAAAAGUUGUGUUUUGCUGCCCACCAUGCGUGUCUCUGCUACGAAUGUGCAAGCGGGAGGAGUGGCUGAUACUUCUUGAAGCUGUGCUACUCUUCAGGCCCAUUUUAGCAGGUUGGGGAGCUGCAGACAGGACACCUGAGGAAGGUCAGCAAAGGUAAGUGUGGAGUCCUGCAUGUGGGGAGAAAGAAGUAUUAGAUGUUGUAUCUUUCAUCCCGCUGUGUUCUAAAAUCUCUUAAGAACAAGUGUUGGCUUGGUAGAGUGCAUCUAUUUCGUCUAUUAUAUAUAAAGGCUUCUAGACUAUAACCUCAAA